GACGAACGCUGGCGGCGUGCCUAAUACAUGCAAGUCGAGCGGACUGAAUGGGAGCUUGCUCUUGUUCGGUCAGCGGCGGACGGGUGAGUAACACGUGGGCAACCUGCCCGCAAGACCGGGCUAACUCCGGGAAACCGGAGCUCCUACCGGUUAACACCGAAGACCGCAUGGUCUUUGGUUGACAGGCAGCGCUGGCUGCCACUUGCGGAUCGGCCCGCCGCGCAUUAGCUAGUUGGUCGGGUCACGGCUCACCAAGGCAACGAUGCGGAGCCGGCCUGAGGAGGAGACCGGCCAGACUGGGAAUGAGAAACGGCCCAGAGGCCUACGGGAGGCAGCAGUAGGGAAUCUGCCGCAAUGGGCGAAAGCCUGACGGAGCGAGGCCGCGGAGGCGAAGAAAGCCAUCGUGUGGGAAAGCUCUGGUGUGUGGGGCUAAAGAGCGCUGUUUGAAGAAGGGGACGCGGUGACGGUACCUAACGAAGAAGCCCCGGCUAACUACGUG
rnacentral:rRNA from 1 species